rnacentral:sRNA from 1 species
GCUGGGUGUGGUGGCUCAUGCCUGUAAUCCCAGCACUUUGGGAGGCUGAGGUGGGUGGAUCACCUGAGGUCAGGAGUUCAAGACCAGCCUGGCCAACAUGGUGAAACCCCGUCUCUA